rnacentral:rRNA from 1 species
GACAGAGGCCCCGAGCGUUAGGCGGAAUCACUGGGCUUAAAGCGUGUGUAGGCGGAUCGUUAAGUGUCUUGUGAAAUCCCACGGCUCACCCGUGGAACCGCUGGGCAUACUGGCGAUCUUGGGCCGUUCAGGGGCGACUGGAACAAGCGGUGGAGCGGUGAAAUGCGUAGAUAUCGCUUGGAACGCCGAAGGUGAAAACAGGUCGCUGGGGACGCGCCGACGCUGAGACACGAAAGCCAGGGGAGCGAAAGGG